rnacentral:rRNA from 1 species
UACUCCUACGGGAGGCAGCAGUGGGGAAUCUUCCGCAAUGGACGAAAGUCUGACGGAGCAACGCCGCGUGAGUGAUGACGGCCUUCGGGUUGUAAAGCUCUGUUAAUCGGGACGAAAGGCCUUCUUGCGAAUAGUUAGAAGGAUUGACGGUACCGGAAUAGAAAGCCACGGCUAACUACGUGCCAGCAGCCGCGGUAAUACGUAGGUGGCAAGCGUUGUCCGGAAUUAUUGGGCGUAAAGCGCGCGCAGGCGGAUUGGUCAGUCUGUCUUAAAAGUUCGGGGCUUAACCCCGUGAUGGGAUGGAAACUGCCAAUCUAGAGUAUCGGAGAGGAAAGUGGAAUUCCUAGUGUAGCGGUGAAAUGCGUAGAUAUUAGGAAGAACACCAGUGGCGAAGGCGACUUUCUGGACGAAAACUGACGCUGAGGCGCGAAAGCCAGGGGAGCGAACGGGAUUAGAUACCCCGGUAGUCCUGGCCGUAAACGAUGGGUACUAGGUGUAGGAGGUAUCGACCCCUUCUGUGCCGGAGUUAACGCAAUAAGUACCCCGCCUGGGGAGUACGACCGCAAGGUUGAAACUCAAAUGAAUUGACGGA